UACGUAGGGCGCAAGCGUUAUCCGGAAUUAUUGGGCGUAAAGAGCUCGUAGGCGGCUUGUCGCGUCUGCCGUGAAAGUCCGGGGCUCAACUCCGGAUCUGCGGUGGGUACGGGCAGACUAGAGUGAUGUAGGGGGAGACUGGAAUUCCUGGUGUAGCGGUGAAAUGCGCAGAUAUCAGGAGGAACACCGAUGGCGAAGGCAGGUCUCUGGGCAUUAACUGACGCUGAGGAGCGAAAGCAUGGGGGAGCGAACAGG
rnacentral:rRNA from 1 species